CUAUCAGAUAGAAAACACAGAGGAUGAUUGUUAAAGAUAAUUUUACUUCAUAAUGAAACACAGAUCUGUGUGUCGUAUGAGUUGAUCACAGGGAAUUGCAAGAUGACCAAGAUUAUCUGCCAUCAGCCUGGAAGAGGAAGGGUUCUGCUGAUCAGCACAGGAAGAGGAGUACAGAUGA
rnacentral:lncRNA from 1 species